rnacentral:rRNA from 1 species
AAAUUGAAGAGUUUGAUCAUGGCUCAGAUUGAACGCUGGCGGCAGGCCUAACACAUGCAAGUCGAACGGUAACAGGAAGCAGCUUGCUGCUUUGCUGACGAGUGGCGGACGGGUGAGUAAUGUCUGGGAAACUGCCUGAUGGAGGGGGAUAACUACUGGAAACGGUGGCUAAUACCGCAUAACGUCGCAAGACCAAAGAGGGGGACCUUCGGGCCUCUUGCCAUCAGAUGUGCCCAGAUGGGAUUAGCUUGUUGGUGAGGUAACGGCUCACCAAGGCGACGAUCCCUAGCUGGUCUGAGAGGAUGACCAGCCACACUGGAACUGAGACACGGUCCAGACUCCUACGGGAGGCAGCAGUGGGGAAUAUUGCACAAUGGGCGCAAGCCUGAUGCAGCCAUGCCGCGUGUAUGAAGAAGGCCUUCGGGUUGUAAAGUACUUUCAGCGGGGAGGAAGGUGUUGCGGUUAAUAACCGCAGCAAUUGACGUUACCCGCAGAAGAAGCACCGGCUAACUCCGUGCCAGCAGCCGCGGUAAUACGGAGGGUGCAAGCGUUAAUCGGAAUUACUGGGCGUAAAGCGCACGCAGGCGGUCUGUCAAGUCGGAUGUGAAAUCCCCGGGCUCAACCUGGGAACUGCAUUCGAAACUGGCAGGCUUGAGUCUUGUAGAGGGGGGUAGAAUUCCAGGUGUAGCGGUGAAAUGCGUAGAGAUCUGGAGGAAUACCGGUGGCGAAGGCGGCCCCCUGGACAAAGACUGACGCUCAGGUGCGAAAGCGUGGGGAGCAAACAGGAUUAGAUACCCUGGUAGUCCACGCCGUAAACGAUGUCUACUUGGAGGUUGUGCCCUUGAGGCGUGGCUUCCGGAGCUAACGCGUUAAGUAGACCGCCCGGGAGUACGGCCGCAAGGUUAAAACUCAAAUGAAUUGACGGGGGCCCGCACAAGCGGUGGAGCAUGUGGUUUAAUUCGAUGCAACGCGAAGAACCUUACCUGGUCUUGACAUCCACAGAACUUUCCAGAGAUGGAUUGGUGCCUUCGGGAACUGUGAGACAGGUGCUGCAUGGCUGUCGUCAGCUCGUGUUGUGAAAUGUUGGGUUAAGUCCCGCAACGAGCGCAACCCUUAUCCUUUGUUGCCAGCGAUUAGGUCGGGAACUCAAAGGAGACUGCCAGUGAUAAACUGGAGGAAGGUGGGGAUGACGUCAAGUCAUCAUGGCCCUUACGACCAGGGCUACACACGUGCUACAAUGGCGCAUACAAAGAGAAGCGACCUCGCGAGAGCAAGCGGACCUCAUAAAGUGCGUCGUAGUCCGGAUUGGAGUCUGCAACUCGACUCCAUGAAGUCGGAAUCGCUAGUAAUCGUGGAUCAGAAUGCCACGGUGAAUACGUUCCCGGGCCUUGUACACACCGCCCGUCACACCAUGGGAGUGGGUUGCAAAAGAAGUAGGUAGCUUAACCUUCGGGAGGGCGCUUACCACUUUGUGAUUCAUGACUGGGGUGAAGUCGUAACAAGGUAACCGUAGGGGAACCUGCGGUUGGAUCACCUCCUUACCUUAAAGAAGC